rnacentral:tRNA from 1 species
GGGAAUAUAGCUCAGUUGGUAGGGUGCUUGUCUAGCAUGCACAAGGCCCUGGCCCUGGGUUCAAUCCCCAGCACUACCA